AUUGUAAUUCAAGGAGCACCUGUAUAUGUAUAUAUUUAUUUAUUUUAUGUAUACUGUACGAAUGUCCACUCAACAGGGACUGUCUUUGGGAUAAGUAAUACAUUUUCUUCGAUCACAGCCUUUAUUGCACCCAUGGCUGUUGGUGCCAUUACGAAUAAUCAGCAAACAAUGAGUCAGUGGCAGAAGGUGUUCUGGAUGUGUGUGCCCCUCUAUGGGAUCACUGAACUUUUCUACCUCAUGUUCUGCUCUGGUAGUGUUCAGCCCUGGAACUACCAUGCAGUACAGCAGCCACAGGGAAGAACUAUAGAUGCUCCAGAACAGACUGUGAUGCUCUAGCCAUGACAUCAUCAAGGGUCAUCUUAAGAUCUCUACCAUCCAGCUGUGUCAGCUACAAGAUAUUCCAGAACCUCAACAAUCUAAAAUGCCUAAUUCUGCUGGUCUAGAGAUACAAUGUGCAGCACUACUUAUGGAACUGUGUAAUAAUUUAAUCGUGGAAUCAGUUGCCACUAUGCUCAGUUUUGAAACAAAUGUACUUGAUUAAACUUCAAGAAAAGCUUCUGAGACAG